rnacentral:rRNA from 1 species
UACAGAGGUCCCAAGCGUUGUUCGGAUUCACUGGGCGUAAAGGGUGCGUAGGCGGUCGGGUAAGUCUGAUGUGAAAACUCUAGGCUCAACUUGGAGAUUGCAUCAGAAACUGCCGUGCUAGAGUGCGGGAGAGGAGAGUGGAAUUCCGUGGUGUAGCGGUGAAAUGCGUAGAUAUCUGGAGGAACACCGGUGGCGAAGGCGGCAUCCUGGACCGGCAGUUGAACGCUGAGGUGAGCGAAAGCCAGGG